rnacentral:lncRNA from 1 species
AAAGGCACUGGAUUUUUCUCAGGAUCAACAUUAGUACCCAUUGGAAGUGCAACUGCAGGAUAUGUGUUGGAAACUACAAUUACAAACUCAAAACAAUUAAGAAAGACAUAUAAAUUGAGUAAACACAAUGAAGUGGCACGAAACCUAGAACACACCAAGUAAAACUAUCAAAGCAGCACCAUUGUUCACAUAACAUACAAUCAACUAAAAACCGCUAGCGUAAAAUGGCCCAUCUUACUUUGUUCUCGCAAUUCACUGCCCAUUCUUAUAUCCACUUUUAAUAUUGUUGUGGAGG